CCAGCCAGCAGCGUAAGCUUGCCAUGCCCACAGUCGUGAGAGAAGAGUCUGGAAAGGACUGAGGGGUGCAGAAGCCGAUGGCAGCAGCAGAGGCUGAGAGCAGCGCCGAGCCCCAGUCACAGCUAUCGCGAAGCUUACAUUCAAGAAGCCAGAAGGAAGGGAGCAGGAAGAAUGGAAGAGGAAAAGCCAUGGCGGGGAUCUUCAAGGACAUGAAAUGCCACCGGUCUGACCCACGGAAUCUGCUUUGAUCGCUGCUGGGCUUCCCACCCGUAGAACAGUGCCUGGUACACGAUGUACCCAAUGCUCUAGUGAAAGCCUAGGGUUUUUCUCAAGGUCCUGACUUUCCCAUCUCUGUUCAGACUGUUCCCUCGCUCCUAGAACGCCAUCCCCGCCAACUCUCCAGCUACUAGAACCCCUGGCCACCUUCUAGGCCUGGCUCAGAUGCCACCUUCUUCAGAAAGCCUUG